rnacentral:rRNA from 1 species
ACAUGCAAGUCGAACGGGAUUCGGGUAGCAAUAUCUGAUGAGAGUGGCGCACGGGUGCGUAACGCGUAUGCAACCUACCUUUAACAGGGGGAUAGCUCCGAGAAAUCGGGAUUAAUACCCCAUAGUAAAUUGAUAUGACCUCAUAUUAAUUUUAAAGCUCCGGCGGUUAAAGAUGGGCAUGCGUGUCAUUAGCUAGUUGGUGAGGUAACGGCUCACCAAGGCAACGAUGACUAGGGGUCCUGAGAGGGUUAUCCCCCACACUGGUACUGAGACACGGACCAGACUCCUACGGGAGGCAGCAGUAAGGAAUAUUGGGCAAUGGGCGCAAGCCUGACCCAGCCAUGCCGCGUGCAGGAAGACGGCCUUAUGGGUUGUAAACUGCUUUUGUUAGGGAAUAAACCCCCGUACGUGUACGGGGCUGAAUGUACCUAAAGAAUAAGCAUCGGCUAACUCCGUGCCAGCAGCCGCGGUAAUACGGAGGAUGCAAGCGUUAUCCGGAUUCAUUGGGUUUAAAGGGUGCGCAGGCGGAUGUGUAAGUCAGUGGUGAAAUCCUACGGCUCAACCGUAGAACUGCCAUUGAUACUGCACGUCUUGAGUCUAGUUGAAGUGGGCGGAAUGUAGCAUGUAGCGGUGAAAUGCAUAGAUAUGCUACAGAACACCUAUUGCGAAGGCAGCUCACUAAACUAUAACUGACGCUCAUGCACGAAAGCGUGGGGAGCAAACAGGAUUAGAUACCCUGGUAGUCCACGCCGUAAACGAUGAUCACUCGUUGUUGGCGAU